GUCCGGACGAUGAGUCCCAAAUAUGACGAAAUGCACAUCCUGGAU
rnacentral:hammerhead_ribozyme from 1 species